UUAUCUAUACUACUUAAUCACAGGCUCACAGCCACUUCCAUGUUGUCAUUUCGUCUCCAUCUUUGAAUGACUAAAUCUGCACAUAUUUGAGAUUAUUAUCCUCAAGAUGGAAAUAUAUUGAAAGUCCAAAGAUAUGCUAGGGGGAAUUUCCUCUUCAAAUAUGCAUCACGUAAGUCGGGCUGCAUUCUCUGCAUUUUCUAUCUGGUUUUUGGACUGAAGUUGUAAAAUCAACGUCGGGUAAAUAUUAUAGCUUAAAUUUGUACUGUUUUUUGAGGUUUAAAAAUCCAAGUUACAUGUAUACUUAAAUCACUUUUAGCUAAUGUGGAGAGGGCGUUUACCACAUGUGUUAUAAAUUGUCAUAAACUUAUUGAUAAUAGUCUUUGUUAACAUUCA